UGGGGAAUUUUGGACAAUGGGCGCAAGCCUGAUCCAGCCAUGCCGCGUGAGUGAAGAAGGCCUUCGGGUUGUAAAGCUCUUUCGGCCGGGACGAAAUCGCAUGCGUGAAUAUCGUGUGUGGAUGACGGUACCGGAAUAAGAAGCACCGGCUAACUACGUGCCAGCAGCCGCGGUAAUACGUAGGGUGCGAGCGUUAAUCGGAAUUACUGGGCGUAAAGCGUGCGCAGGCGGUUUCGUAAGCCAGAUGUGAAAUCCCCGGGCUUAACCUGGGAACUGCAUCUGGGACUGCGAGGCUAGAGUACGGCAGAGGGAGGUGGAAUUCCACGUGUAGCAGUGAAAUGCGUAGAUAUGUGGAGGAACACCGAUGGCGAAGGCAGCCUCCUGGGCUAGUACUGACGCUCAUGCACGAAAGCGUGGGGAGCAAACAGGAUUAGAUACCCUGGUAGUCCACGCCCUAAACGAUGACAACUAGUUGUUGGGGAUUUAACAUCCUUAGUAACGUAGCUAACGCGUGAAGUUGUCCGCCUGGGGAGUACGGUCGCAAGAUUA
rnacentral:rRNA from 1 species